rnacentral:rRNA from 1 species
CCUACGGGGGGCAGCAGUGAGGAAUAUUGGUCAAUGGGCGGGAGCCUGAACCAGCCAUGCCGCGUGAAGGCGAGUGCCCUACGGGCGUUAAACUUCUUUUGUGCGGGAGCAAUAAGGGCCACGUGUGGCCCGAUGAGAGUACCGCACGAAUAAGCAUCGGCUAACUCCGUGCCAGCAGCCGCGGUAAUACGGAGGGUGCGAGCGUUAAUCGGAAUUACUGGGCGUAAAGCGCUCGUAGGCGGUAUGUCAAGUCAAGGGGGAAAUCCCCGCGCUCAACGUGGGAACUGCCUUUGAAACUGGCAAAC